rnacentral:rRNA from 1 species
AUUGAACGCUGGCGGCAGGCCUAACACAUGCAAGUCGAACGGUAACAGGAAGCAGCUUGCUGCUUUGCUGACGAGUGGCGGACGGGUGAGUAAUGUCUGGGAAACUGCCCGAUGGAGGGGGAUAACUACUGGAAACGGUAGCUAAUACCGCAUAACGUCGCAAGACUAAAGAGGGGGACCUUAGGGCCUCUUGCCAUCGGAUGUGCCCAGAUGGGAUUAGCUAGUAGGUGGGGUAACGGCUCACCUAGGCGACGAUCCCUAGCUGGUCUGAGAGGAUGACCAGCCACACUGGAACUGAGACACGGUCCAGACUCCUACGGGAGGCAGCAGUGGGGAAUAUUGCACAAUGGGCGCAAGCCUGAUGCAGCCAUGCCGCGUGUAUGAAGAAGGCCUUCGGGUUGUAAAGUACUUUCAGCGGGGAGGAAGGGAGUAAAGUUAAUACCUUUGCUCAUUGACGUUACCCGCAGAAGAAGCACCGGCUAACUCCGUG